rnacentral:rRNA from 1 species
CGCCCUUAGAGUUUGAUCAUGGCUCAGAUUGAACGCUGGCGGCAGGCUUAACACAUGCAAGUCGAACGGUAUGGGUGCUUGCACCUGACGAGUGGCGGACGGGUGAGUAAUGUAUGGGGAUCUGCCGAAUGGAAUGGGACAACAGUUGGAAACGACUGCUAAUACCGUAUAAUGUCGCGAGACCAAAGUGUUUCGACAUGCCAUUUGAUGAACCCAUAUGGGAUUAGCUAGUAGGUGGGGUAAUAGCUCACCUAGGCGACGAUCUCUAGCUGGUCUGAGAGGAUGACCAGCCACACUGGAACUGAGACACGGUCCAGACUCCUACGGGAGGCAGCAGUGGGGAAUAUUGCACAAUGGGGGAAACCCUGAUGCAGCCAUGCCGCGUGUAUGAAGAAGGCCUUAGGGUUGUAAAGUACUUUCGGUGAUGAGGAAGGUACUUGGUAAUCCAAGUAAUUGACGUUAAUUACAGAAGAAGCACCGGCUAACUCCGUGCCAGCAGCCGCGGUAAUACGGAGGGUGCGAGCGUUAAUCGGAAUGACUGGGCGUAAAGGGCAUGUAGGCGGAUGAUUAAGUUAGGUGUGAAAUCCCCGAGCUCAACUUGGGAAUUGCAUUUAAAACUGGUCGUCUAGAGUAUGUAGAGGAAGGUAGAAUUCCACGUGUAGCGGUGAAAUGCGUAGAGAUGUGGAGGAAUACCGGUCGC